rnacentral:lncRNA from 1 species
CUUGAGCUUGAUCAGCUUGCAAUUGGGAUUUUGUAGCGCUUUGCCCAACCAUCCACCACAAUCACCUGGAUAAAGUGUAACCCUGAGUUCCUCCAAGCCACACUUAGCGCUGCUCAGGGCCUCACCCAGGCCCGUUGCAUUGCUCAGGUCCUCACUCCGUCUCAUUCCUUGGCAAUUUAAAACUGACAGGCUGGUGCCCUCCUGAAGAGCCUUGCAUACCCAUGGCAACACUCCAGGAUCACUUCCCGAAUAUAGGUAUAGUCUUUGCAGCGAACAGUUUGAACAAGUGAGUGCCUUGAAGAGUGCUUCACCUGCCUCCUCUCGAAACGUUGCCACCAGUUUUACUAGCUUAUUGCAAAUGCCAUUCUGAAAUGCCUGUUCCCACCCUUCCUUGCCAAUGUGGUUAUCUUCGAUGACUAACUCUUCCACCUUGCACUCCUGACUUGCCAGAUCCCUACUCAAUUUCCCAAAUCCUUCCACUGUCAUCCUGUUCCCCAGCAAUUGGAGACGUUUCAAGUUGUUUCCUGGUUUCCUAAGGAGUUGGCUAAGGAGAGUCUCUGGGUUCCCAACCUUGUCCAACCAGAGCUCUGUCAAGCAGUCGAGCUGAGCAAAGGCCAACUCAAGCUCCUGAGGUGGUGUGAGGAUGUCUUUGCCUCGCCAAUCGAAACGUAGCCCUUUCAAGACCUUGAAUUCCUCUGUCAUGAGAAGCUUUGCAAACCUCUGCACCUCAAUCUGCCAAAUAUCCUGUCCCUGCUGAGGAGGAGCAAUGCCCUCUGCCACCCUUUGCAUUCGAUCACUGGGAAUGCCCAACCUACAAGCAACCCUGGCAGCGAACUGGAUGAAUCUGAUGUCGAGCUGUGGUACCAAAGCGGCCUUGAGAAUGUCAAUGUGAGCAGCAGCAGCAGCAGCAGACGAACUGCCAUCACCAGGAGCAUCUCCCACAUCCAGAGCCCCGUCUAAACUGGGUGGAUUUGAAAUGCACCAGUUGAGCACACCAAUCAGAUCCUCCUCUGUGCCUCCAAACCCCUCAACGGUAGCACUCACCUCAUCAACAAACUCACCUUUGGAUGCGUCAAGCGCCUCCAGCCUCCAGAUCUUCCCACAAUGAAACACAAUCGCAUUGAAGUGCCGCUUGUUGUCCCGCUUCGCUGCGAGAGCCUCCUUGAUCUCCUUGACAGACAAACAGGGGAUCCACACUCGUCGCUCCUCCUCCAUGGAAGUUUGCCCUGGAUCGAAGGGUAUUUACAGGUAUUCCCAGAGGUAUGGUGAGUCCUUUCUUCACACCUUGUCCGACGUUGCAAAGUGAGAGUUUUCGACCAUCUUGGGGUAACUGCCAGACUCCAGUCACCUAAUAACAUUCUCUAUUUAUAGUAUUUAUUUUGAGAAUGUAGUAUUAACUUAUCUCCAACAUUUCAAAUGCAACCACUUAUUCUAUUAUUCUUGUGAUCACUACUUUUUGUUGAUAUCUUGGCUUUCAAGGACAAUUAAUGAAUCUCAAGUGUUAUUUGGUUUAGAUAUUCUAAGGUGCUAUUCUCACUCUUAUUACUUUUGGAGCAUAAAAUCCAAAUAUUCCUUCUCUUGCUUUUUUUUCUUUGUAAUACAAACAUUGAAUCUAGAAUUAAGUGGUCAUUUGGUAAAUACUUAGUACCACAAGGCAUCCAUAAAUGUUUCUAUGUUGGAUAUGAAAAUGAAAUACAAUCCAUUGUUGAUAUUUAAGGACAAGCUAUCAAUUUUACACAAGGUUACUAACAACUUUGGUGAUAUAGUAAAAACCUCUUGCGAGUGAGAUUUGUAGAGUGUAAGUUUUGUAAAUGAUGCACAGCUAAAAAUAAUUAUAAGAAAAGCUACAAUUUUUUGAUACACGUGGCAGCGGUCAUAUGGAUUCCUUUUGUAUUUGGAUUGUCUUACUUAACUUAUUUGUACAAGCACAAACAAAGUUCUCCUUCAAAAGCAAAAGAGGAAACUCUUGAGAUUGUCCAACUGUAAAGAGUAACAAAAAUUAAUCCAAUCACUUACAAAAUGAACUAUAAAUUUAUAAUAACAUUUUGCCCAAUCUCAACAAAACCAUUAAUAAAUCAAAGCUUUAGCCAAAUGUUCAUCUUUGCUUGAUAAUCUAUCUCCACUCAAUCAAUACAUAAAGCCCUAAGUUGGACAAUGUAUUUUUUAUCGAGCAGGUCCUCUUUAAUAAGUUCCAUAUAUAAAUAAUAUAGUGACUUACCCUUUUUUCUUUUGUAAGUUAUUGUCUACAAAGAGUUUAUUUCAAAUUCACUUAAAUCUUUCUCUUGAGAAAUUACUUAGCUUGGCAUAAAAUCUUAGCAACCUAAUACUAAAUACUAGCCCAAAAAUUUGAAAAAUCAUAUAAACCAGUAUAUUAGUGAUAAUUUGAAGCUUUUUCUUACCAAUUUACAAGGUAUAAUAAAUGAUUGAGAUGUUGGUUCUCUAGACAAGGAUGAGAUAAAGAUUGGGAGUGAGCUUAGGCAAACAUCUCUAAACCAAACUUCUUCAUUUAGCUCAUAAACUUGGUUGAGUUUGCAAAGGUUUCAAUAAAGUUUAUUUUUGAAUUUUUGCAUGUUAUAAAUGCUUAUCAAGGCAAUGUAAAUAGCAGUAUACUAUAAUUAUGGCUUGUCAUUUUUGUUAUGGUGGUGGUGAUCGCAACCAUCACCAUGCUUUCGGCAUCUUUAUAAAUGAUUAAUUUUUUUUUUACUUUAGGAUCAUCUAAAGGAGUCUCACUCAUAAUCUCUAUAGGCCCUGAUAUUAAUUUGGGUGUUUGCUAACUUUAAAAUGUGUUCUUGUAACCACAUCAACUUUGUACUUAGUUUAAAUGCUCUAUGUGUCCAGUUCCACUUUUGGAUACCCAAAUGGCUAAAUAACCUUUUAUGAAGUCCAAAUUUAAAAACUUAUAUUUGGUAUUAGAGAAGUCUAAGGUGUGACUCUAUUAAUUGAUUAAAGAAAUCACACCACAUGUUAAGAUUGAUAUUUAUUAAGUUUACUUUACUCCAAUUUCAACUCGAGGGGUAAGGUGUUAAAAGAGCGGGACUCUUAGAAGAGUUGCAACUUUCAACUUCCAUUUACGAAGGCGUGAACUUCCAAAAAAGCAUGAUGGAUUAUAAACAACCAAAGAUAAUAACUUAAAAAAUUAUUAAUAUUGUUUUAAAUAUAGAAAUGUACCCUUUGUUCCAAUUAGUUAUAAGUUUUGGGUUAUUUGAGAUUAAGCAUCUUUAAAUAGUAUUGGGUUAGAUGACCUUUUAGAAAGCCCAAAUUCAGGAGAUUAUAGUGCCAUAAAUAAUAUAAGUUAAUAUUUGUAAAUAACCUAGCAAGAAAGAAAACAAUUUAAAAUUAAACAACCUUUCAAAAAUGAAUAUUUACUAGAAUUUUCAAAAUAAGUAUUUAGAAAGCAUUUUCAUUAGAGCUACUCUCAAGUAACACUUGAUGUGUUGCAAAUGAUUUCAUAGUAAAAAAUAUCUUUAUACUUCAUUUUUAAAAUAAAUAUAAAUGGUGUUUAAUACAUAUUUUGUAUUUUGUAAAAAGUGUCUACAAACACUCAAAAACUUUUUUUUGUUAAAUUAUUGCUUACAAUAGUUAAAGCACAAUACAGUGUUUAGUUUUAUGGGAUGACAUAUAUAUAUAAUUGAGGAGAGUAAACAAAUUUCAAGAUGAAGCUUGAUUAGCUUGCAAUUGGGAUUUUGUAGCGCUUUGCCCAACCAUCCACCACCAUCACCUGGAUAAAGUCUAACGCGGAGUUCCUCCAAGCCACACUUAGCGCUGCUCAGGGCCUCACCCAGGCCCGUUGCAUUGCUCAGGUCCUCACUUCGGCAAUCUAAAACUGACAGGCUGGUGCCCUCCUGAAGAGCCUUGCAUACCCAUGGCAACACUGCAGGAUCCCGAUAUAGGCCUAGUCUUUGCAGCGAACAGCUUGGACUCGUGAGUGCCUUGAAGAGUGCUUCACCUGCCCCCUCUGGAAACGAUGCCCUCAGUUUUACUAGCUUAUUGCAAAUGCCAUUCUGAAAUGCCUGUUCCCACCCUUCCUUGGCAAUGCCCUCAUCCAGGAUGGCUAACUCUUCCACCUUGCACUCCUGACUUGCCAGAUCCCUACUCAAUUUCCCAAAUCCUUCCACUGUCAUCCUGUUCCCCACCAACCUGUUCGCCAGCAAUUCGAGACGUUUCAAGUUGUUUCCUGCUUUCCUAAGGAGUUGGCUAAGGAGAGUCUCUGGGUUCCCAACAUUGCGCAACCAGAGCUCUGUCAAGCAGUCGAGCUGAGCAAAGGCCAUCUCAAGCUCCUGAGGUGGUGUGAGGAUGUCUUUGCCUUCCCAAUAGAAAGCUAGCCCUUUCAAGACCUUGAAUUCCUCUAUCAUCAGAAGCUUUGCAAACCUCUGCACCUCAAUCUGCCAAAUAUCCUGUCCCUGCUGAGGAGGAGCAAUGCCCUCUGCCACCCUUUGCAUCCGAUCACUGGGAAUGCCCAACCUACAAGCGACCCUGGCAGCGAAGUGGAUGAAUCUGAUGUCGAGCUGUGGUACCAAAGCGGCCUUGAGAAUGUCAAUGUGAGCAGCAGCAGCAGCAGACGAACUGCCAUCACCAGGAGCAUCUCCCACAUCCAGAGCCCUGUCUAACCUGGGCGGGUUUGAAAUGCACCAGUUGAGCACACCAAUCAGAUCCUCCUCUGUGCCUCCAAAACUCUCGACGGCAGCACUCACCUGAUCAACAAACUCACCUUCGUAUGAGGGCUCCAGCCCACAAUAAAACUCAAUCGCAUUGAAGUGCCGCUUGUUGUCCCGCUUCGCUGCGAGAGCCUCCUUGAUCUCCUUGACAGACCAACAGCGGAUCCACACUCGUCGCUCCUCCUCCAUGGAAGUUUGCCCUAGAUCGAGUGAUCAUGAGUAAACUUCUCCCAGCUGUGGAUAAGAAUGUAAGCACGAGUUAGUUUAGGGUUUAGAACAGAUAAAAUGGGGAAGAAGGGGAAAGGGAAAAGAGAAGACCGAGCGAGUUCGUCGCCACGACAAGGUGUUAGACGAGGAUGAUAUUGGUGCGAUCUUGGUAAGCAAUCUCUGGCCAAAGACUCUCAAUCGUUUUCCUUCUUGUCAGGCUAAACUCCACGAGGAGAAAGCAAAGAAGAGCGAAAUUCAUGUCAAUGAGAAUGUAGCAGCUCCUUCACCACAAUGCAAUUGCUCUGUGCGUAAGAACUCGAUUGAAAUCUCCACUCUGGAAGCUCACAUUCUCUAGAAUUCUUCUUUCCUUGCGUUUCAGGUGACUGUAAAUCCCGUCAAGGACACUGCGCUGAUCGUCAAUGGUGACAAGGUUUGUGGUUAGUUUCGCUACGGUGAUUUGAUCUUCGUGUUUGCUAUGCUAGACUUACGUUUAUGGUGAUGCCUACCGAUACAACAUCGAGAAGAACGAGUGGAAGCCUGUCACCAGUCCAAACUCUCCUCCCCCGAGAAGCGCUCACCAGGGGGUUGCGUGGAAAACUGGCUCUUCAGUUUUGGUAUCCAGGAAUUCUCUUGAUUUUGGCAGUGUAGGUGGUGAAUUCGGUUUCAUGACUAUAAGGUGUGUUUCUAGCUGACUUACAAGAGAGUUCUUGCAGGAUUUAUGGAGACUGGAUUUAAACACAAAUAUCUGGCGGGAGCAGCUUCAACUAAAAGGCUGUCCAGGUGCUCGUUCCGGACAUAGAUUGGUAUGUAUUGCGCUUCUAAACAUAAUCUUUAUUUUUUUCUUUCUUGCCACAGAAACAUAAACUUAUUCUAUUUGGUGGAUUUUAUGACACGCUGAGGGAAGAAAGGUCGGCUGUUUCAGCAGUGUAGAUGUUUAGUAUUGAAUUUUUGACACAGGUACUUUAAUAAUCUUUAAGUGCUGGACUUAGACAAUUAUAAGGUUUGUUUCUCAUCGGUCUUCCUUGUUUUUUAAACAACUAAACUGAUUUCCUUUUGCAGUGGCAAGAGAUAAAACCCAAGCUUGGAGCUGCCUGGCCUUCAGCUGGAACUGGUUCUCAGCUUGCUGUUUAUUUAGAUGAGGUAUUUGUCUACUAAAAGUAUAGUUUUGCGUGUUGUGAACAUUUUUUCUUUUCUAGAUUUUCUUGUACGGUGGCUAUUUCAAAGAGCCUGCCCCUGACAAAGAUCAAUCCGACAAAGGUGUAGUGCUCGCAGAUAUGUGGACGUUAGAUCCACGGAUUGGGAGUGGGACAAGGUUUGCUUGUUUUACAUUCUCGUAUGGAGUUUUAGUUUUUCAAUGUGUUUUGUGAAGGUGAAAAAAUCCGGUAUGGCUCCUGGCCAAGAGCAGGAUUUUUGUCCACAUCUUGUUUGGUGGUGUAGUUGAUGCUGAUGAGUACGGUUUCAAUGCAUGCGUUGGAAAAACUAAUGGCUUUUGCAGGUGAUUCCCUGCACAGCGUUUUUAUGAUCGAGAUGUAUAUGCUUUCCAGAUGGUUUGUAUCUCGUCGAUUUUUUUAAAAUUAUCUAAACACCAUCGCUCGCAGGUAUCCUUUGGAGCUUCUCAAGCCAAAGAGCCUAAAGAUUAAGGUAUGGUAAUCUGAGAUUGUGUAGUGGUUAAGUGUGCAUCCAAAGCAGAAGAAAGUGGUUGAUCCAAAUGUGGAAAAUGCGUCUCAACGUUGAGCGUUCUGCUUGAAGGUUGUUGCCUUGUGGAAGAAUGAAUGCUGGAAUGGUCGUUGGAAAGGAUACUUUGUUUCUGUAUGGAGGUAUGAAAGAAGUCGGCAAAAAAAAAGUGACACGACGACCUUUCCUCGCUGGACCUUCGAUGUGUGGAAGUGCAUUAUUGAGGUUAGUAUGAUCGAGCCAUCAUCCAGCCUCAUACUAAUGUCUCAAGCAGGAAACACAAAGCGCGUGGAUAGAAGCUAGUAAGGAGAAAGGCGAAACUGAUGGUGACAACAGUGAUGCUGGAUCGAUUAAUAAAGGAAAAGACGAAGAGGACGACGACGAGGUAGUAAAAAAGAAGGAUGUAAGAAAACUUGUCGGCUUCCUUUUGUAGGAUGCAGUGGAGUCACUGUGAAGAGGCAGCUGCUAUUCUUGAGUAAACUUGUAAAAGUGAACCGGUUUAGGGUUGAUAUUGAUGCGAUCUAGGUAAGCAAAGCUCUGGCCAAAGACUCUCAAUCGUUUUCCUUUUUGUCAGGCUAAACUCCACGAGGAGAAAGCAAAGAAGAGCGAAAUUCAUGUCGAUGAGAAUGUAGCAGCUCCUUCACCACAAUGCAAUUGCUCUGUGCGUAAGAAUUCGAUUGAAAUCUCCACUCUGGAAGCUCACAUUCUCUAGAAUUCUUCUUUUCUUGCGUUUCAGGUGACUGUAAAUCCCGUCAAGGACACUGCGCAUACCAAUACAACAUCGAGAAGAACGAGUGGAAGCCUGUCAAACUCUCCUCCCCCGAGAAGCGCUCACGAGGCGGUUGCGUGGAAAAACUGGCUCUUCAUUUUUGGUAUGAUGUAUUUUUCCAGGACUUCUCUUGAUUUUGGCAGUGUAGGUGGUGAAUUCGGUUUCAUCACUAUAAGGUGUGUUUCUAGCUGACUUACAAGAGAGUUCUUGCAGGAUUUAUGGAGACUGGAUUUAAACACAAAUAUCUGGCGGGAGCAGCUUCAACUAAAAGGCUGUCCAGGUGCUCGUUCCGGACAUAGAUUGGUAUGUAUUGCGCUUCUAAACAUAAUCUUUAUUUUUUUUCUUUCUUGCCACAUAAACAUAAACUUAUUCUAUUUGGUGGAUUUUAUGACACGCUGAGGGAAGAAAGGUCGGCUGUUUCAGCAGUGUAGAUGUUUAGUAUUGAAUUUUUGACACAGGUACUUCAAUAAUCUUUAAGUGCUGGAUUUAGACGAUUAUAAGGUUUGUUUCUGUCGCUCAUCGUUCUUCCUUGUUUUUUAACAACUAAACUGAUUUCCUUUUGCAGUGGCAAGAGAUAAAACCCAAGCUUGGAGCUGCCUGGCCUUCAGCUGGAACUGGUUCUCAGCUUGCUGUUUAUUUAGAUGAGGUAUUUGUCUACUAAAAGUUUAGUUUUGCGUGUUGUGAACAUUUUUUCUUUUCUAGAUUUUCUUGUACGGUGGCUAUUUCAAAGAGCCUGCCCCUGACAAAGAUCAAUCCGACAAAGGUGUAGUGCUCGCAGAUAUGUGGACGUUAGAUCCACGGAUUGGGAGUGGGACAAGGUUGGCUUGUUUUACAUUCUCGUUUGGAGUUUUAGUUUUUCAAUGUGUUUUGUGAAGGUGAAAAAAUCCGGUAUGGCUCCUGGCCAAGAGCAGGAUUUUUGUCCACAUCUUGUUUGGUGGUGUAGUUGAUGCUGAUGAGUACGGUUUCAAUGCAUGCGUUGGAAAAACUAAUGUCUUUUGCAGGUGAUUCCCUGCACAGCGUUUUUAUGAUCGAGAUGUAUAUGCUUUCCAGAUGGUUUGUAUCUCGUCGAUUUUUGUAAAAAAUUAUCUAAACACCAUCGCUCGCAGGUAUCCUUUGGAGCUUCUCAAGCCAAAGAGCCUAAAGAUUAAGGUAUGGCAACCUGAGAUUGUGUAGUGGUUAAGUGUGCAUCCAAAGCAGAAGAAAGUGGUUGAUCCAAAUGUGGAAAAUGCGUCUCAACGUUGAGCGUUCUGCUUGAAGGUUGUUGCCUGGUGGAAGAAUGAAUGCUGGAAUGGUCGUUGGAAAGGAUACUUUGUUUCUGUAUGGAGGUAUGAAAGAAGUCGGCAAAAAAAAAAAUGACACGACGACCUUUCCUCGCUGGACCUUCGAUGUGUGGAAGUGCAUUAUUGAGGUUAGUAUGAUCGAGCCAUCAUCCAGCCUCAUACUAAUGUCUCAAGCAGGAAACACAAAGCGCGUGGAUUGAAGCUAGUAAGGAGAAAGGCGAAACUGAUGGUGACAACAGUGAUGCUGGAUCGAUUAAUAAAGGAAAAGACGAAGAGGACGAUGACGAGGUAGUAAAAAAGAAGGAUGUAAGAAAACUUGUCGGUUUCCUUUUGUAUUCUAGGAUGCAGUGGAGUCACUGUGAAGAGGCAGCUGCUAUUCUUAGGGGCGAAGGCAAAAAGCUGACACAAAAAGCACGGAAAUUAAAGAUCGAUCCGAGCUGGGCCUGGCUGAUUCCCAACAAACACUUUUGGUGAGUGCUGAUAGUAGUUCAUCUUCCUGUUUUGUUAUUGAUUUGUCUUUCAGCCUGGAGAAACGCUGAGGGAUUUUUUCUCUUGGACGAUCAUGUAUUGGCAAAUGGCACCUUACGAUCACACCCAACACACUGGAAAGGUGACAACGCAGGUUUUCUUUCGCUCGUUCUUCAUGCUCUAUGCAUCUAUCAGGAGCUCAGGAAGGAUGGAUUUGACUUGGCAAAGACACGCUACAGAGAACUUAAACCCGUCCUUGACAAGGUAAAGUGGUGUCUCAAGAAGGAAUCCUCACAACAGCAUUGUUUGAUUUGCAGCUGGCGAGACUUGAAGCCGACCACAACGCCGAAGAGGAGGCUACCAAACCUUCCAAAGAGCGCAGCAAGAAGAAACGAUAAGGUCCGCGAAAGUUCUAGCUGAAAAUUAAAUGAAUAGAUUACAGUUAUUCCCAGAGGUAUGGUGAGUGCUUUCCUUUUACAAUCUCUGCGUCGCAUCAUCAAUGGUGAUAGAAGGUUAAUUAAUAACGACGAUCCGAAUGCAUGAAAUGGAUAUCCUGCUCUUACCCAGGAUAAAGUUUAUAUUUCCAUGAUUGCUCGCAGAGUGUAUGGGCCUGAGAUAUGCCAUGGCUUGCUUUCGGUUGCCUUUCGUAAAAUGCAGAGUGAACACUCUCUCUACGCGGUCCAUAAACUUUACUACCUGGAGUGCAUUGGAGCAAUGAAAUUCCAUCAGCAAGACCCUCAAAGGAAAAUUUCUUCACACCUUGUCCGACGUUGCAAAGUGAGAGUUUUCGACCAUCUUGAGGUAACUGCCAGACUCCAGUCACCUGAAAAUUUAAAAAACCUUUUUAGAAGUCUGCAGUAAUUUUCCAUUUUCCAUAAGUACCUUGUCAUAUUUCUUGCGGAUCUUGACGAAUGCCAUCAUGUUCAAGGAGCUGCCAAGUAAGUUUUCAACACUUUGAGAACAUGGAUCAAUCGUGUAGAGGUCAUUCACCUGAAGUUUCUUAGGAGUCGAUGCCCACGAUAAAAUUCGACAAAGGCCGUCUGGAGGAUCUUGGCUGCUCGCUGAACCUUUCCUUUGUUGCCGGGCUCCCCUUCAAGCUCUGAGAUUCGUCAUCUACAACAUGGCAGAGAUCAAACGAUUCCAAGUUAAGUGCUACAGAUUUAGAGGCUGCUAUAACGAACCUUGCAUAGCGAUGACCUCUUCCAUUUGGAUGUGAAGUUGCCGUGCUUGAGCAUCGUACUCGUCUUCCUUGCAUCUAAAAAACUUGUCCACUUUGUUGAGCUGAUCGUCAAGGCCGAAAAAGAAGCUCUUUUCGUGAUCCGAUCGAGUUCCAAACAGCUCCGUCUCGUAAAAAUCCUCGUCAUCUCCAAUUCUCGUCUUGUGCACAACCUGAUCGUAUUGAAGUGUUUUGUUUUGUCUUUACAGUCCAGAACAUCCAUGGACGUUUCCGAGGAUAUGGAUUGUUCGCAGCAGCUGCUCAGGAUGGCGCUGGGAUUUUGCAGCAAGUUUUCAAGCUUGCUCUUGUCAACCGAGAAGACAUUUGGAUCGAACACCUUGUGCUGCUGGUUCUUGGUAUGUAGGAUCUGGGUUUUGAUUCUCUUGACAACUUUCUUGAGCUGCUUGUAGUCGCAGUACUUCACCCGCCACUCUGGGACGAGCUGGCCCUCCAGCUGCUUCUGGAACUUCACCAUGUCUGAAAGCUUGGAUUACCUGAGGCGAACAUCGUCAGGAAAACGAUCAAGCAAGAGAUGAAAUACCUGGAGGAAAUGGUGUCAAGUUCAGAAUGCCUCUUCAAACUUUUCUGGCGCCUGUGCUCUGGAAGAACAGUGGCAGUGAGCAUAUGACGAGACAAAUGGUGGCGUGGAAUCAUCAAAUGCAUUGUGCUGGGGAGGAGCACCACCAAUUCUCACAAGAAAACAGCGUCUUAAGAUCAUCUCUGGAAAAAAGGGGGAAAACCUUCGUUUCUCACCGAGGCCAACGAACAAUUACAUAAGAAUACGUUUUCCCGAGUGAAACUGACGCGGCAGAGUGCAAGAGGAGAGAAAAAGCAAGCGAUCCAUUGGCCUAUGGAACUAAAAAAGGAAGCAAAAGGACAGGGAAUGCAGGGGAAUCUACAUGAAAAGAAGCUGUCAUAAGUUACACACUUCCACACACUCUCGCACACUUCAACUCUUUUCUUGUCAACACGAGUAAUUUAUGCGAGCGAAAGGGAAUGAAAGAAUCAUUUGAGCAUCUAAAGCAUGGAAGGAAGCGAGGCACGUACUCUUUCUGGAAAUCACGCUUAUGGAGCGUUUUGUUUCGUCGGAGUCCCGAUUGCUGGCGCAACCAAACUGAAAGAAUCGCAAGCUCAGAACUACGAAAGCAAAGAAAAAACUUACUCUUGAAAGGGGACGAAGAGGAGAAGAAUAACCGAAGGAGCCAAGCUUGGAAUCGAGAGAGCUUGUCGAGUUCUCGAGGUGAGAGGCCUUUGCUCACUCAAAAACUUGGAGCCUUCUCUCCUUCUGCGAGAGGAAGAGGGAGCGGGGGGAGUUUGCAAUGAAGGUGGUGGUCGCAUUUUAUACUCUGGUUGGCCGACUAGAGACACACAAGACAUGGAAGAAUUGAAGCUGACUUUUUAGAUCUAAAAAGGUCUAAAAAGGUCUAAAAAGGUCUGAAAGCGGCGACGCCACCCCUUUCUCCAGCGGGUACCUCCGCUGGGGUGGAUCGCAGUGCUGCAUUAGCGCCGAGAGAAGCGAUUCGAGGGUGGUGUCCUGGAGCUCCUGGAGAGUGUGUGGCGUCGGGGCGGCGGCGGUGAGCUGGCCAGCGCCUCCGCCUCGUACUUGGCCAUGGCGGCGGGGCCGUUCCGAUCGAAGCGGACCUUCUCCUUUCACUGUUGUCGCUGGCGCCGCUCACUAGCUUGCCCUUCUCGGGGAUGAUGCCAUAGACGAAUCCUUGGGCUUUGCAGACCUCCAUGAGCAUCGCGUCCUGGGCUCACGACAUCUUCUUCCGCCGGGCUUGCUCCUGGGAUUGCUUGUGCUUGGGGAGAUUGCCCAGAUUCUGGUGCUGCGCUGCUGGGCUGCCCAUGGCUGCUGUGAUUCGAGUGAUUCGAGGAGAAUGCGUUGUUGACCCUGGCCUUUUGCUCGUCCUUGAUCCGCUUGAGUCACAGCCGAUCGUUCGAAAUCCUCUUCUCCAGCUCGUCCACGUUCCAUGUCGUCGUCAAUGAAAUCCUCGUGAUCCUGGACGACCGCCUCGCCCAGGCCUCCAUCGUUGUCUCCCACAAGAUCCACGUCCAGGCCAUAGUAGAGAUCCGGGUCGCCGCCGUGGAGCUCCAUCUUGCGGAGGAAAUAUUUCGAGCGCGCGCUGCCGAGAGGAGGGAAUAUUUCGGAGCGAUUACCUCCAAUUCGCCAUGGAAAGCCGAGGAUCGAAUGGGAAAAGCGAGGAAGAUCACGGGAAGCAGAGAGAAAGAAGGAAAAAGCUCGAUUCAACGCGAGCCCCUUGUGUGAUUACCUAGCUCCAUCAUUGCCCCGUCGACGCGCGCUGCGCUCGCCGAUCGCGCCCGUGACACAGUGGCGCAGCCUUCAAAUUCGACACAUUGCCCGGGCAAGCGUCACAAUCCCAAUGCCGCCACCGCUGCGAGGCGCUGCCAACACGAUCAACGAGAAUCGAUGCCCUAGCGCAUCAAGAUCCCCGCUUUGCUCGGCGAGAGAGUGAAGAGGAAAGGCGCGGCGCCCCUCGCCAUAGCCAACUACUAGCUAAUAGCUAUCCAUCCAAUAGCCGUACAAUUCCCCCAGGUCGGGUUUAUGACAUGGAAGUCCACUGGCUUUUUGACACGUGGCACAGCUACGUGGACGCCCUUUUCAGCCCUUCCGGCUUACGGCCAAUUUGGCUAUCUGCCUCAAAUUUAGCUAACCGGUUUGUUGCCAGAUUUAGCAGCUCCCCGAAUUUAAUUCACUUUUGUCCAAGCUGCCAGUUUGUCGGAAUCCAGUUUGGGUCAUAAAAUGGACCACUGGGGGACACCGGGCUCGAACCCGGACCAGCGGAUGCCGCGCCGCGCCGGACUCGAGCCACGGACCGGCGGUCUCGUCGCCGGACUCGAACCCGCCACCGUACGCUCUACGCCUCCACCGCUACCAUACGCCUCUCUCUAGUUUAUUAUACGCCUCCAAUCCUUGGUAGUGCUUCCUCAUGAUCACCUCUACGUGACAACCAACGUACGUGGCGUACGACGUUUGAAACUCUAUUCAUUAGGCUUUGUUAAAGAGAAUAAAAGAGAGAACGCCACUGUAGCUAAACCUAGAAAUCAAAAACUAAGGGGACGACAAUGCUAGUAGUUCUUCUUUUUUACAUCGUGUCAUUAUUGGUUUGACUCUAUAGCUUAGAUGCAACACCUUUUCCUCGGGGGGUACCCUAAUAAUAUUCGCUGCCGGAGAAUAUUCCGGAAUCGGCCCGGGCAGCCCCCCCUUUAGCUCCCCAUGUGUGGCCUUUGUUUUUGUUGCCAGCCAAAGAAAACACAUAGAAAGUUUGAAGGAGAGAGAGAGAGCGCAAAAAUCUGAGAGGAGAGAAGGAAAUGGCACUGGCUUUGAUUGACUUUGCCGCGCUCCACUUCUUUGAUCCCUCCAUCUCCAUCUCGUCCUUUUUCUUUUUCUACUUGGACUCGGACGAUUCGAUCCAUGUCAUGUUUCGCUCGAAGUCGAUGGAUCACUGCCCGAUCACUCCACCACUUCUUGUCGACUGGAAAAGUCUUUAAAUUCCUCUCGCUGAUGCGAUCAGCACGGCAUUAGCCUGAGAUCAAGGCCGCGGACCAUCCAGCAAAGUCUAAGCUUUUUGCCAAGGAUGUGACAAGCUAACGUGUUGUCCAGAGCGCUUACAGGUUCCAUUGUUUUUUCCAUGACAAUUCUUUUUCCUCUGGCGACCGGCACGAAAGUCGUCCGAAGCAACCCAAACUGGAAACAAGAUACAUGCCCAGUUUCUCGGACAGAUUUCUUCAAGCCCGGCAGCACACGGAAGACGAAGAAAUUCGUUAUAAAAUCCACGAGCAAGCAGCGAGAGAGAGAGAGAGAGAGAGAGAGAGAGAGAGAGACAUAAAGAACUUUGCCAAGCCCAAAGUCGUUGAUGUUAAGCUAGGCCGUGCUUGAAGCGCGUGAUGAUGAUCAUGAAAGUUCCUGUCGAGAUGCUCGGUGGAUUCUCCGUGUCUCCAGCUAGAGACUUAUCGAUCAAUCCACAGUGUGCGGCAGCCGUCGUUUCGCUCGAUCGCUCCCUCGUUUGCAAAAGCUCGGACUUGACGAUCCUUCUCUUUCUGCCAUGGAUUCCUCCAUGAAGAGACCACCGAGCCAAGUUGCGAGAGUGAGGUUAAGCUGUAGUGAUCUUACGGACAUCCUCUUUUUGGAUUGCUUCCUUUUUUACUCCGCGUAUCGUAUUGACACUGUUGUAGAAGAAACAAACGAGUUUUGGAGGUAGCAACUUCCCUUCCAUUUGAUUGAUACAUGAAGAACAAGACAUCGCUUGCAAGUGGAAGAUCACACGGGAGAUGUUUGGAGUCAAACUGGAACUUUCGUGAUUGUUACGAGCACCUCCCCUGAAUCCAGCACCACACUAUCUAUCUGGUAAUGUUUCAAAACGAGUAAACUAAUCAGUGUUUGGGAAUGAAUGUUUGUGCUGCUUGGCCACUUGCACUGCGGCAGUAGAGGAGGAUGUUUUGCGGCAACUAUACCCGACUAAAUCGAAGUACUUUAAUUGCAAUUUGCAAGAUCACAAGUACUAGUCCUGAAGAAAAACAGCGAGAUGUGCUUAUAAUCAAGGCAUUCUUGCAACGCAAGUGGAAAUUCACUAUGUUUACCUGGGCUUUCCGAGGAUGCUUCAUCUGAAUCGCAUAGUGUCACCCUGCCAUAUGAAAAAGACAAGAGAAAAAUUCUUAUUCACUAGAGUUUGGCAAUUUUACUCUAGUUACUACAAUUUUUCCAUUGUUGAUACUCAUUGUAGCUUCAUUCAACUCCACACUUUUUUACUUGAUUAGAGAUGUAAAGUUUUGUGUCAUGUUCUAGAAUUUUGUCUAUAGUUACAAAACCACAAGCUUAUCCAUAAAUGGAUUGAUAUUACUAUAAACAAUUAAAGAAAACAACUUGAAAGACGAUCAAUAGGGUUCAAAUAUAGAGGGAAAUGGCUCAUGAAUAAAAAUACAUUUUAUUUUUCAAAUGUAUUUAUUUUUUCAAUUGGUUAAAGGUUUUGGGAUAUUUGGGGUUAAGUGUCUCUCGGUUGGGUGACUUCCCGGGAAUUUCAAAUUUAAGAGUUUAUAAUUACUUCAAUGCAAAGGUAUAAUUUCAACUUCUUUCUCUUCCUUUCAGCUUCUUUUCUUUGCUUUUCAAUAUGUAGUGAGUGAAAUGCUUUCACUCAUAAGUUUUUCAUAGAUGAGUGAAUAAAACUUAAUUAACUCUUAUAACCUAUUUUUCCAAAGUUACAUUUAAGAUGGCUAAGUGAGCAGUGUGACGUGCUCUUACAACCAAGUGAAUAGUUUCUUAACUUAUGCUAAUCAAAAUUUGCUCACAGAUAUAAUAUAAAAUAGGUGGGGAUGCAAUAAAUUUAUUCAUUUCUCUCCUUGAGAAAAAUCAUUCUUUUACUUCUUGUUAAAUAUAUAGUUUUUGAUUGUGAUGUUCUUCACUUUUUUUGAAGGGUGCAACAUAUACUCCCUUAGUCAAAGAUGCAGUUGUUGAUUCCAUGUUAUAGGUAAAAAUUUGAUAAUUAAAAUUGUUGCAAGUUUCAAUAUUAAUUUUGGGACCAACUUCUAAAGUUUUACCAAGAUUAUUUUAAAUUAAUAAAUUCAAAACUUUUUCUUGACAAUCAUGAGAAGUCAACACUUCAAGUUAGAAAUAUCACCAAAGUUAACUUUAACCAUAUAAUAUCCAAUCUCAUUACAACCAAAAUGUGGCUUAGAUUAUUCAAUAGCAAUCCAAACACUUAACCAUAUUCAUCACUUGGAGAUGUAAUGAUAAUUAUCAAUAGUUUGCUUUAGAUAUGGCUUUCCAAGGAAUUGUUCUCCUAAAAAACAAUGGCUUACUACUUUUAUUCACAAUCUUGAAAAUUAUGCCUUUUAUAGGAAACGAUGUAAAUACAACAUACAUGAUACUUGGAACCAUAUAAUAUCCAAUCUCAUUACAACCAAAAUGUGGCUAAAAUUAUUCAUUAGCAAUCCAAACACUUAACCAUAUUCAUCACUUGGAGAUGUAAUGAUAAUUAUCAACAGCUUGCUUUAGAUAUUGCUUUCCAAGGAAUUGUUCUCCUAAAAAACAAUGGCUUACUACUUUUAUUCACAAUCUUGAAAAUUAUGGCUUUUAUAGGAAACGAUGUAAAUACAACAUACAUGAUACUUGGAAACUACAAAUUUGAAAGAUAAGUUUUUUCUCAAAACUCUUUAGAUAUUAUUUAUGGUUUUCUUGGAGAAAUGUCAUACAAGUAUGUAUCACCUUUGCAAAAUAUGCAAAUCUACAGUAAUAACAUCCUCUAUUUAUAAUACUUAUUUUGAGAAUGUAGUCUCAACUCAUCUCCAACAUUUCAAAUGCAACCACUUAUCCUAUUAUUCUUGUGAUCACUACUCUUUGUUGAUAUCUUGGCUUUCAAAGAUAAUAUAUAAAUCUCAAGUGGUAUUUGGUUUGGAUAUUUUAGUUAGUCCAAAGGUGCUACUCUCACUCUUAUUACUUUUGGAGCAUAAAAUCCAAGUAUUCUUUCUCUUGCUUUUUUAUCUUUGUAAUACAAACAUUGAAUCUAAAAUUAAGUGGUCACUUGGUAAAUACUUAGUACCACAAGGCAUUCAUAAAUGUUUCCAUAUUAGAUAUGAAAAUGAAAUGCAAUCCAUUGUUGAUAUUUAAGGAGAAGCUAUCAAUUUUACAUAAGGUUACUAACAACUUUGGUGGUAUGGUAAACAACUUCUUGCGAGUGAGAUUUGUAGAAUGUAAGUUUUGUAAAUGAUGCAUAGCUGAAAAUAAUUAUAAGAAAAGCUACAAUUUUUUUAUACCCCUGGCAGCGGUUAGGUGAAUUUCUUUUGUGUUUGGAUUGUUUUACUCAACUUACUUGUACAAGCACUAACAAAGCUCUCCUUCAAAAGCAAAAGAGGAAACUCUUGAGAUUGUCCAACUGUAAAGAGCAACAAAAUGAACUAUAAAUUUAUAAUAACAUUUUGCCCAAUCUCGACAAAACCAUUAAUAAAUCAAAGUUUUAGCCAAAUGUUCAUCUAUACUUGAUAAUUUAACUCCACUCAAUCAAUACAUAAAGCCCUAAGUUGGACAAUGUAUUUUUUAUCAAGCUGGUCCUCUUUAACAAGUUCCAUAUAUAAAUAAUAUAGUGACUUACCCUUUCUUCUUUUGUAAGUUAUUGUCUAAAAAGAGUUUAUUUCAAAUUCACUUAUAUCUUUCUCUUGAGAAAUUACUUAGCUUGGCAUAAAAUAUUAGCAACCCAAUACUAAAUACUAGCCUAAAAAUUUGAGAAAAACAUAUAAACUAGUAUAUUAAUGAUAAUUUGAAGCUUUUUCUUGCCAAUUUACAAGGUAUAAUAAAUGAUUGAGAUGUUGGUUCUCUAGACAAGGAUGAGAUAAAGAUUGGGAGUGAGCUUAUGCAAACAUCUCUAAGCCAAACUUCUUCAUUUGGCUCAUAAACUUGGUUGAGUUUGCAAACGUUUUGAUACAGUUUAUUUUUGAAUUUUUGCUUGUUAUGGUAGUGGUGAUCGCAACUAUCACCAUGCUUUCGGCAUCUUUAUAAAUGGUUAAAUUUUUUUUACUUUAGGAUCAUCUAAAGGAGUCUCACUCAUAAUCUCUAUAAGCCCUGAUAUUAAUUUGGGUGUUUGUUAACUUUAAGAUGUGCUCUUGUAACCACAUCAACUUUGCACUUAGUCUACAUGCUCUAUGUGUCCAAUUCCACUUUUAGAUACCCAAAUGGCUAGAUAACCUUUUAUGAAGUCCAAAUUUUAAAACUUAUAUUUGGUAUUAGAGAAAUCUAAGGUGUGACUCUAUUAGUUGAUUAAAGAAAUCACACCAUAUGUUAAAAUUGAUAUUUAAUAAGUUUAAUUUACUCCAAUUUCAACUCAAGGGGUAGGGUGUUAAAAGAGCGGGGCUCUUAGAAAAGCUGCAACUUUCAACUUCCAUUUAUGAAAGCGUGAACUUGCAAAAAAGCAUGAUGGAUUAUAAACAACCAAAAAUAAUAACUUAAAAAAUUAUUAAUAUUGUUUUAAAUAUAAAAAUGUACCCUUUGUUCCAAUUAGUUAUAAAUCAUAGGUUAUUUGAGAUUAAGCAUCUUUAAAUAGUAUUGGGUUAGAUGACCUUCUAGAAAGCCUAGAUUCAGGAGAUUAUAGUGCCAUAAAUAAUAUAAGUUAAACUUUGUAAAGAACCUAGCAAAAAAGAUAACAAUUUAAAAUUAAAUUGUCAUUUUUGUUAUGGUAGUGGUGAUCGCAUGCUUUCGGCAUCUUUAUAAAUGAUUAAUUUUUUUUUACUUUAGGAUCAUUUAAAGGAGUCUCACUCAUAAUCUCUAUAAGCCCUAAUAUUAAUUUGGGUGUUUGCUAACUUUAAAAUGUGUUCUUGUAACCACAUCAACUUUGUAAUUGGUCUAUGUGUCUAAUUCCACUUUUGGAUACCCAAAUGGCUAAAUAACCUUUUAUGAAGUCCAAAUUUAAAAACUUAUAUUUGGUAUUAGAGAAGUCUAAGGUGUGACUCUAUUAGUUGAUUAAAGAAAUCACACCACAUGUUAAGAUUAAUAUUUAAUAAGUUUAAUUUACUCCAAUUUCAACUCAAAGGGUAGGGUGUUAAAAAAGCAGGGCUCUUAGAAGAGCUGCAACUUUCAACUUCCAUUUAUGAAAGCGUGAACUUGCAAAAACGCAUGAUGGAUUAUAAACAACCAAAGAUAAUAACUUAAAAAAUUAUUAAUAUUGUUUUAAAUAUAGAAAUGUACCUUUUGUUCCAAUUAGUUAUAAAUCUUAGGUUAUUUGAGAUUAAACAUUUUUAAAUAGUAUUGGGUUAGAUGACCUUCUAGAAAGCCUAAAUUCAGGAGAUUAUCGUGCCAUAAAUAAUAUAUAUUAAUGUUUGUAAAGAACCUAGCAAAAAAGAAAAUAAUUUAAAAUUAAACAACCUUUUAAAAAUGAAAUAUUUACUAGAAUGUUCAAAAUAAGUAUUUAGAAAGCAUUUUCAUUAGAGCUACUCUCAAGUAACACUUGAUGUGUUUCAAAUGAUUUCAUAGUAAAAAAUAUCUUUAUACUUCAUUUUUAAAAUAAUUAUAAAUUUUGUUUAAUACAUAUUUUGUAUUUUGUAAAAGAUGUCUACAGACACUCAAAAACCUUUUGCUAUUAAAUUAUUGUCAUUCAAGCACUUGCUUAUAAUAGUUAAAGCACAAUACAGUGUUUGGUUUUAUGGGAUGGCAUAUAUAUGUAAUUGAGGAGAGUAAACAAAUUUCUAUAUAGAGUUUAGUAAGUAAAUGGAAUUGUGAACAAUGAUAAUUUUCAUAAGUCUUUAAACUGUAGUUUGUAACAUAUUUUAGCUAAACAUUAAUUUAAAGAAUAAGUUGAAGUUGGUAAAGAUAAUAUAUAGUUAUCUCCUACAAUAUGUGAUGAUAAAUAAUAAUUAAGCACUUGUAUUUAGUUUUGAAAUGCAUUACCUCAAAAGGUUUAUUAAUAUUGAUUAACUUCAUUCCUAGAAUUGUUUUACCAAAGAUGCCAAAAUAAAAAAUGCCACUAAUAUGAAAUCAUCUAAGUAGCUUUUCUUUAAAGCAUUCAAUACUAAAACAUCAGAAUAAAUAUAAAAAUUAUUUUAGAGCAAUAUCCAAAGAUACCUCAUCAACUUAUAUCAGGAAAUAUAGCAUAAUCAUAGUGAAAAUAACAUUCUGGCAUAGCUACAACAAUAUAGAGGACAUUUGAUUUAUCAUUGCCUUGCCAAAUAGUCUCAAAAAUCAAUAUAAUUAAUGAUUUAUUUUAAAUACCCUACAUAGUCUUUGUUAAAUAAAACUAAAAUCAUAGAUAUAUUUCAAUGUAAAAUACCUUUGUAAAUCCAUAUUGUUUUAUAAUCCAAGGUUAUAAGAUGGAUAUUAAAAUAUUUGGUCAUGAUUGUCUUUUGGUCAAUUUCUUUCACAAUUUUAGUUUUCAUAUCGAAAUGUCAUUAAUAUGAAAUCAUUUGAUGAGUUUUUCCUUCACUUUGAUUAUUAAAAAUUCAACACUGAAAUAAACUUGAAACAUUAGAAUAAACAUGAAAUAAUAUUUUAAAGCAAUAAUGUAAACUUACUUCAUCAACUUUUCUUACAAAAUAUAGCCCAAUCAUUCCAAAGACAUAUAGUAAUAAUUAUAUAAAGUAUGUUCAUUUAUCUUCAUCUUUCCAAACUACCUCGUAAAAAUAUAUAUUGAUGAUCUACUUUAGAAUGGUGUUUGUUAGAUAAAACUAAAAACUUAAAUGUUAAAUACCUUUGCAGAUCCAUAUUUUUCUUUCAUCCAGGAUUAUGGGAUGAAGAGCAAAAUAUAUAAUUAAUGAUUUACUUUAAAUGCCUUACAUAGCCUCUGUUAGAUAAAACUAAAAGCAUGGAUAUAUUUCAAUAUAAAAUACCUUUAUAAAUAUAUAUUGUUUUAUCAUCCAAAUUAUGGGAUAAAAAAUAAAAUAUAUGGUAUCUUUUCCUUCUCUUAAAAUAUUAGAUAUUCAACACUGAAAUAAACUUGAAACAUUAAAAUAAACAGGAAAGAAUAAUUUGGAGUUAUAAUACAUACUUACCUCAUUAACUUCAGCUACAAAAUAGACCUGAAUCAUACCAAAGAUAUAUAGUAAUAACUAUGUAAAGCAUAUUUAUUUACCUUCGUUUUGUUAAACCACCUCAUAAAAAUAUAGAUUAAUGAUCUGCUUUAGAAUGGUGUUUGUUAAAUAAAAUAAAAAACUUAAAUGCUAAAUACCUUUGCAGACCCAUAUUUGUUUUCCCUCCAAAAUUAUAGGAUGAAGAGCAAAAUAUUUUUCCAUGAUUGUCUCCUGUUUUUCUUCUUUCCCAAAUUUAGUUGUCACUAGCUUAAAUAUCUUUUGCACAUCUUCUGCUUUGGGAUUUGUAGGUAGCUUGCUUUUAAGAAGACAUGAAUCCAAAAAACUUAUGAGGCUUCCCUUGAUCUCAUCCACUAUUGCAUUCACUAUCUCUCCAACACCAGCAAAAUGUCUUCCAACUUUGGCCCCAAUAAAUAAUAGGAUCAAUGUAUAUUUAAGUACUGGAGCAAAUUUUUUGAGCCAAUUUGGUGGGAGAUCCAAUUCAACACCUAUAGAACUCUUCACUUGAUGACCUUUAGAAGUUCCUUCAGGCCAUUCACACAAGUAGUGAAGUCUACCAUGUGUUCCCAGUAUUUUACUGUAAUUUUUCCACAUAUUAUUCUCAUCAAGAAUAUAUGGAUAUUUUGGGUAAUCUGUCUCUAAUUUCAAUAAUACUUGAAAACACGUUAUAUGGAUUGCAUUCACUUUAUCCAUGAUAAACUUGAGUCCAUUCUUGAGCUUGUUAACGCUUACUUCAAUAUCAUUAAGUUUUGUAUCUAACUUGUCAAAACGGUUCUCCAUUUUAUCAAACAUCUUCUUAAUAUAUCUGAGGAUUGCAUCAAGUUUUGGGUCUUCAAUGUUUGGAAACUCAACAAUAUCUGAUGAUGCUUUGGGAAUUGUGACUUCUCCAACCUCCUUAUAGUCCUUCAAGAGUUCAUGAAGUUCAACAAACUUAUUCACCAGUUCAUGUUUUUGCUCCUUAGGCAUCAAUAGCUUAGCCAAAGCAUUCUCAUCUGAGACCUUUAAAUCAUUAUUCACAUCCCAGCUCUCUGCUUCAUGUGAAUAAUUCCAAGUGUGAGAGUAUUCUAGACCUCUUUCUCUUGCUUCAUAUUUGACUUGCUUUAGUGGACAAACAACUGAAGCCCAUAAUUCUAAUUUGUCCACCUUAUUUAGUAUCCUUCUCCAUACAUAACCACGUCUCAUCACAUUUUCUUCAAUUUCCAAAGAUGGGCAAUCCUCCAUACAUACCCCAAUAAUGCAAUUUCUAAUUUUUUCCAUCCAUCCUUCAGCUUCCUUUUCUAAAUCCAGCCUUGGUGUAUUCUCUACCUCUUUUGGGUAGUAAAUGAUGACAUCAACCCAUUGCCUAUCUUUCCAAUUGUCUGUGUCUCCCCCAACUCUCACAAUUAUCUCGAUAAGGUUUUUUUUCAAAGCCACCCAUCCAUUCCCAAGCCUGAAACCUUUCUUGCUUAAUUUGUAAAGUUUAACUUGGAUCUUUGUGAAAAUACUUGCAGGAAACAAUUUCAGCUCCUUGUCUUUGCAUUCAAACCUCCUGCCCCAGUAGUUGUGGUUUUUUUGAGUGUUAAUUGACAAUAAAUAUCCUGAAGGUGAAUAGUCUUCUUGCAAUAGUGUUGGCAUUAUCAACUCUUUGGGCAAGUUAUGCCAAUUCCCAUCCCAUGUUUCAUCCCAAGGCAAUAUCACUCCCAUCUCAUGGAGCACUCCAAGAAUGUACUCCACUAUUUUGUCUUGCUUCCCACAUUGUUGCUUCAACUGAUGUUUAACUCUAUGUGUUUCCAUUUUACUUUUGAGUUUGCUUGUCUCAGUAUGUAUGAAGAGUUGCACCACAUCCCUCAUAAACCAUUGGACAUCUAAGAUGACAAAUUGAGACACAAUGUCGUCCUCUUCAUGUCCCAAGCCAAAGUAAAUUGCAUCACCAGAAUCAUGUAGAAAUUGCAAGACGAACUUGAGAACAUUCUUGGAACUCCUGUGAGGCAAGAGAAUUUUGCCAACUUUUUCUAGGGGUAUGACCUUCUUGUGACUUGGAUCUUGUACCAAUUUCCUCUUUGCUUUGAGACAUUCCCGUGGUAUUUGUUGCUGGGCUGACAGCAGUUCCUCCAAGCAACUCCCCAACAUGGUUUUUAUCCCCCUUAAAUCUUUCACUUGAGUGGCCACCACCUCAAAACAAAAGUCAUUCCCAAACUCAAGUACUUGCCAAUAGCCUUUGUCGGAGAUUAUUGCAGAAACCACCUCCUUUGGGUCAAAGUCGGGUUCUGGAGUGAAAAAGUUCAAGGCAAUCAAGACCCUGGGCUUCCUUUUGGGUGAGGCUGAUUGAUGUGAAGCGAUGAACCUCAGCCAGUAAACCAAAUUCUGCUUGAAAACGUCACAAUUGUCAUCCUCCACCUUGCAUACGAUCAAGAAGAGAUCCUUCUCACUUCCUCUGAGAAAGUACUGGUGGAAAGCAUGGAACUCUUCCUGUCCAGCCAGGUCGCAAAUGAGCAGCUUUUGUUUGGUGGUCGCAUAGACAAGUGGUUGCAGCUCAAUGCCUGCUGUUGAAGCAUGCCUUUGGAGACAUGAUGGAAACCAAGACACUCUGCGGCAGAGGUUUUUUUUUAUUGUGGUCUUUCCAACCCUGCUAGCACCACACAAGAAGAGCUUUGCUGUUGACGGGUUGUCAAAGUCUUUGAAUGCACUCUGCUGGAAGAUUGCAUUCCGCUCUAAAAGACCAGAACACCUCUACUUGAAAGCUUCAGAAGCUUCGGAAUCAUUGCCUAUAUCAAGCUCUUCCACGAGGCUUUGGUAGUUUUCCUCCAAGGCAGCCAGAAUUUGUCUUUUCUGUGCAUCGCUAUCAAGAAAAGGAGCCCUGAAUCUGCGCACCUUGCAUUUUGGAUCCCCCAGCAACUGGCAAAGAUCUUCCAGCUUUUCAAUUUCUCCCUGACGUAUUUCCAAGUCUUCAAUGCUGCUUCCCAAAAGGCACCUCCAUGGCAGUUCCGAGUGACAUGACAAAGCUUUCAGAUGCUUGCAGCUGGUGAUAGCUUUCCAAAAGAGCUCCCCAUUCGUGAUUUUGCAAUUGAAUAUAACCAAAUGCUCCAGUUGGCUCUUCUCUAUGCCCUCGGCAAACUCCAACGUUAACUCAUCUUCUCCUCCCCAUAUUUCCAAAUGGCGCAGCUUACAAUGUGGACUUGAGAGGGCUGACCACAGACUGCUGUCACAGACCACUCCUCCUCCCUCGUUGCGAAAAGAAAGUUUAAGCUUGAUCAGCUUGCAAUUGGGAUUUUGUAGCGCUUUGCCCAACCAUCCACCACCAUCACCUGGAUAAAGUGUAACGCUGAGUUCCUCCAAGCCACACUUAGCGCUGCUCAGGGCCUCACCCAGGCCCGUUGCAUUGCUCAGGUCCUCACUCUGUCCUUGGCAAUUUAAAACUGACAGGCUGGUGCCCUCCUGAAGAGCCUUGCAUACCCAUGGCAACACUCCAGCAUCACUAUCCCAUAGGGAUAGUCUUUGCAGCGAACAGCUUGGACUCGUGAGUGCCUUGAAGAGUGCUUCACCUGCCUCCUCUGGAAACGGUGCCACCAGUUCUACUAGCUUAUUGAAAAUGCCAUUCUGAAAUGCCUGUUCCCACCCUUCCUUGCCAAUGACGUUAUCCAGGAUGACUAACUCUUCCACCUUGCACUCCUGACUUGCCAGAUCCCUACUCAAUUUCCCAAAUCCUUCCACUGUCAUCCUGUUCCUAGUCAAGACGAGACGUUUCAAGUUGUUUCCUGGUUUCCUAAGGAGUUGGCUAAGGAGAGUCUCUGGGUUCCCAACCUUGUCCAACCUGAGCUCUGUCAAGCAGUCGAGCUGAGCAAAGGCCAACUCAAGCUCCUGAGGUGGUGUGAGGAUGUCUUUGCCUCCUUGCCAACCUAGCCCUUUCCAGACUUUGAAUUCCUCCGUCAUCAGUAGCUUCGCAAACCUCUGUACCUCAAUCUGGCCAAUAUCCUGUCCCUGCUGAGGAGGAGCAAUGCCCUCUGCCACCCUUUGCAUUCGAUCACUGGGAAUGCCCAACCUACAAGCGACCCUGGCAGCGAAGUGGAUGAAUCUGAUGUCGAGCUGUGGUACCAAAGCGGCCUUGAGAAUGUCAAUGUGAGCAGCAGCAGCAGCAGACGAACUGCCAUCACCAGGAGCAUCUCCCACAUCCAGAGCCCUGUCUAAACAGGGCGGAUUUGAAAUGCACCAGUUGAGCACACCAAUCAGAUCCUCCUCUGUGCCUCCAAACCUCUCGACGGUAGCACUCACCUCAUCAACAAACUCACCUUUGGAUGAGUGAAGCCUCUCCAAGAUCUCCCCACAAAAAAACUGAAUCGCAUCGAAGUGCCGCUUGUUGUCCCGCUCCGCUGCGAGAGCCUCCUUGAUCUCCUUGACAGAGUCACAGCCGAUCCACACUCGUCGCUCCUCCUCCAUGGAAGUUUGCCCUAGACCGAGUGAUCAUGAGUAAACUUCUCCCAGCUGUGGAUAAGAAAGUAAGCACGAGUUAGUUUAGGGUUUAGAACAGAUAAAAUGGGGAAGAAGGGGAAAGGGAAAAGAGAAGAUCGUCGCCACGACAAGGUGUUAGACGAGGAUGAUAUCGAUGCGAUCUUGGUAAGCAAUCUCUGGCCAAAGACUCUCAAUUGUUUUCCUUUUUGUCAGGCUAAACUCCACGAGGAGGAAGCAGAAAUUCAUGUCGAUGAGAAUGUAGCAGCUCCUUCACCAAUGCAAUUGCUCUGUGCGUAAGAAUUCGAUUGAAAUCUCCACUCUGGAAGCUCACAUUCUCUAGACUUCUUUUCUUGCGUUUCAGGUGACUGUAAAUCCAGUCAAGGACACUGAGCUGAUCGUCUAUGGAGGUGAAUACUAACAACGGUGACAAGGUUUGUGGUUAGUUUCGCUACGGUGAUUUGAUCUUCGUGUUUGCUAUGCUAGACUUUACGUUUAUGGUGAUCUCUACCGAUACAACAUCGAGAAGAACGAGUGGAAGCCUGUCACCAGUCCAAACUCUCCUCCCCCGAGGCGGUUGCGUGGAAAAACUGGCUCUUCAGUUUUGGUAUCCAGGAAUUCUCUUGAUUUUGGCAGUGUAGGUGGUGAAUUCGGUUUCAUGACUAUAAGGUGUGUUUCUAGCUGACUUACAAGAGAGUUCUUGCAGGAUUUAUGGAGACUGGAUUUAAACACAAAUAUCUGGCGGGAGCAGCUUCAACUAAAAGGCUGUCCAGGUGCUCGUUCCGGACAUAGAUUGGUAUGUAUUGCGCUUCUAAACAUAAUCUUUAUUUUUUUCUUUCUUGCCACAGAAACAUAAACUUAUUCUAUUUGGUGGAUUUUAUGACACGCUGAGGGAAGAAAGGUCGGCUGUUUCAGCAGUGUAGAUGUUUAGUAUUGAAUUUUUGACACAGGUACUUCAAUAAUCUUUAAGUGCUGGAUUUAGACGAUUAUAAGGUUUGUUUCUGUCGCUCAUCGUUCUUCCUUGUUUUUUAACAACUAAACUGAUUUCCUUUUGCAGUGGCAAGAGAUAAAACCCAAGCUUGGAGCUGCCUGGCCUUCAGCUGGAACUGGUUCUCAGCUUGCUGUUUAUUUAGAUGAGGUAUUUGUCUACUAAAAGUAUAGUUUUGCGUGUUGUGAACAUUUUUUCUUUUCUAGAUUUUCUUGUACGGUGGCUAUUUCAAAGAGCCUGUGCUUGUUUUACAUUCUCGUUUGGAGUUUUAGUUUUUCAAUGUGUUUUGUGAAGGUGAAAAAAUCCGGUAUGGCUCCUGGCCAAGAGCAGGAUUUUUGUCCACAUCUUGUUUGGUGGUGUAGUUGAUGCUGAUGAGUACGGUUUCAAUGCAUGCGUUGGAAAAACUAAUGUCUUUUGCAGGUGAUUCCCUGCACAGCGUUUUUAUGAUCGAGAUGUAUAUGCUUUCCAGAUGGUUUGUAUCUCGUCGAUUUUUUAAAAAUUAUCUAAGCACCAUCGCUCGCAGGUAUCCUUUGGAGCAAAGAGCCUAAAGAUUAAGGUAUGGCAAUCUGAGAUUGUGUAGUGGUUAAGUGUGCAUCCAAAGCAGAAGAAAGUGGUUGAUCCAAAUGUGGAAAAUGCGUCUCAACGUUGAGCGUUCUGCUUGAAGGUUGUUGCCUUGUGGAAGAAUGAAUGCUGGAAUGGUCGUUGGAAAGGAUACUUUGUUUCUGUAUGGAGGUAUGAAAGAAGUCGGCAAAAAAAAAGUGACACGACGACCUUUCCUCGCUGGACCUUCGAUGUGUGGAAGUGCAUUAUUGAGGUAGUAUGAUCGAGCCAUCAUCCAGCCUCAUACUAAUGUCUCAAGCAGGAAACACAAAGCGCGUGGAUUGAAGCUAGUAAGGAGAAAGGCGAAACUGAUGGUGACAACAGUGAUGCUGGAUCGAUUAAUAAAGGAAAAGACGAAGAGGACGAUGACGAGGUAGUAAAAAAGAAGGAUGUAAGAAAACUUGUCGGCUUCCUUUUGUAUUCUAGGAUGCAGUGGAGUCACUGUGAAGAGGCAGCUGCUAUUCUUAGGGGCGAAGGCAAAAAGCUGACACAGAAAGCACGGAAAUUAAAUAUCAAUCCGAGCUGGGCCUGGCUGAUUCCCAACAAACACUUUUGGUGAGUGCUGAUAGUAGUUCAUCUUCCUGUUUUGUUAUUGAUUUGUCUUUCAGCCUGGAGAAACGCUGAGAGAUUUUUUCUCUUGGACGAUCAUGUAUUGGCAAAUGGCACCUUACGAUCACACCCAACACACUGGAAAGGUGACAACGCAGGUUUUCUUUCGCUCGUUCUUCAUGCUCUAUGCAUCUAUCAGGAGCUCAGGAAGGAUGGAUUUGACUUGGCAAAGACACGCUACAGAGAACUUAAACCCGUCCUUGACAAGGUAAAGUGGUGUCUCAAGAAGGAAUCCUCACAACAGCAUUGUUUGAUUUGCAGCUCGAGACUUGAAGCCGACCACAACGCCGAAGAGGAGGCUACCAAACCUUCCAAAGAGCGCAGCACGAAGAAACGAUAAGGUCCGUGAUCUCUGAAAGUUCUAGCUGAAAAUUAAAUGAAUAGAUUACAGUUAUUCCCAGAGGUAUGGUGAGUGCUUUCCUUUUCUAGAGGCAAUGCCAUUGACAUGAAACCACUAGUAUACAAUCUCUGCGUCGCAUCAUCAAUGGUGAUAGAAGGUUAAUUAAUAACGACGAUCCGAGUGCAUGAAAUGGAUAUCCAGGAUAAAGUUUAUAUUUCCAUGAUUGCUCGCAGAGUGUAUGGGCCUGAGAUAUCCCAUGGCUCGCUUUCGGUUGCCUUUCGUAAAGUGCAGAGUGAACACUCUCUCUACGCGGUCCAUAAACUUUACUACCUGCAGUGCAUUGGAGCAAUGAAAUUCCAUCAGCAAGACCCUCAAAGGAAAAUUUCUUCACACCUUCCGACGUUGCAAAGUGGUAACUGCCAGACUCCAGUCACCUGAAAAUUCAAAAAAACCUUUUUAGAAGUCUGCACUAAUUUUCCAUUUUCCAUAAGUACCUUUUCAUAUUUCUUGCGGAUCUUGACGAAUGCCAUCAUGUUCAAGGAGCUGCCAAGUAAGUUUUCAACACUUUGAGAACAUGGAUCAAUCGUAUAGAGGUCAUUCACCUGAAGUUUCUUAGGAGUCGAAGCCCACGAUAAAAUUCGACAAAGGCCGUCUGGAGCAUCUUGGCUGCUCGCUGAACCUUUCCUUUGUUGCCGGGGCUCCCCUUCAAGCUCUGAGAUUCGUCAUCUACAACAUGGCAGAGAUCAAACGAUUCCAAGUUAAGUGCCACAGAAUUAGAGGCUGCUAGAACGAACCUUGCAUAGCGAUGAGCUCUUCCAUUUGGAUGUGAAGUUGCCGUGCUUGAGCAUCGUACUCGUCUUCCUUGCAUCUAAAAAAGUUGUCCACUUUGUUGAGCUGAUCGUCAAGGCCGAAAAAGAAGCUCUUUUCGUGAUCCGAUCGAGUUCCAAACAGCUCCGUCUCGUAAAAAUCCUCGCCAUCUCCAAUUCUCGUCUUGUGCACAACCUGAUCAUAUUGAAGUGUUUUGUUUUGUCUUUACAGUCCAGACCAUCAUCACAAACCAUGGACGUUUCCGAGGAUAUGGAUUGUUCGCAGCAGCUGCUUAGAAUGGCGCUGGGAUUUUGCAGCAAGUUUUCAAGCUUGCUCUUGUCAACGGAGAAGACAUUUGGAUCGAACACCUUGUGCUGCUGGUUCUUGGUAUGUAGGAUCUGGGUUUUGAUUCUCUUGACAACUUUCUUGAGCUGCUUGUAGUCGCAGUACUUCACCCGCCACUCUGGGACGAGCUGGCCCUCCAGCUGCUUCUGGAACUUCACCAUGUCUGAAAGCUUGGAUUACCUGAGGCGAACAUCGUCAAGAAAACGAUCAAGCAAGAGAUGAAAUACCUGGAGGAAAUGGUGUCAAGUUCAGAAUGCCUCUUCAAACUUUUCUGGCGCCUGUGCUCUGGAAGCACAGGAAGAACAGUGGCAGUGAGCAUAUGACGAGACAAAUGGUGGCGUGGAAUCAUCAAAUGCAUUGUGCUGGGGAGGAGCACCACCAAUUCUCACAAGAAAACAGCGCCUUAAGAUCAUCUCUGGAAAAAAGGGGGAAAGCCUUCGUUUCUCACCGACGCCAGCGAACAAUUACAUAAGAAUACGUUAUCCCGAGUGAAACUGACGCAGCAGAGUGCAAGAGGAGAGAAGAAGCAAGCGAUCCAUUGGCCUAUGGAACUAAAAAAGGAAACAAAAGGACAGGGAAUGCAGGGGAAUCUACAGGAAAAGCUGUCGUAAGUUACACACUUACACACACUCUCACACACUUCAACUCUUUUCUUGUCAACACGAGUAAUUUAUGCGAGCGAAAGGGAAUGAAAGAAUCAUUUGAGCAUCUAAAGCAUGGAAGGAAGCGAGGCACGAUGAUUCGUCCCUGCUUAUUUUUUCGCCUAUCGUUGGCUGUGUCUCCUACAUUAGGACCAAAGGUCUUCCCGCAUAACCAUCAAGCCACGUUUCGUGGAUUCGUAAUGCACUCGCAUAAGGCAUGCCAUCCUGUAAGAGAAGCAAAGCUGAAUAACUCCACCAAGACAAAGCGAUAAGAACGCCACCUCAUAUUGAAACACACGGCGGUUGUCAAGCGAUAAUUCAGCUCUUCGUCUGGAAUGCACCAGCAAAAGAAUAAUGCAUAUGACUCAGAAAGAAGAACUUGACGUACCCGUUCGCUGCCACUUAUCAAACUUGACAACCCAAGUAACGUCCCCAACCCCCAUCAACCCACAUACAGAAGUUCUUUCCCCUGGGAAUACCGUGGAGGGGACGUAGAAUCUCAACGCUUCUACGAAGAUCGUCUUCUAGUUUCCACGGAGUGACCAGCGUUGAGUCAGGGGCCUGCCAGCCAUUUCGUUGCUCAACCAUCAAAAACUACUAAACACGAGGAACUUACCAUUGGCCUUUUCAAGUGUUCAAACACCUCGUGGGAGCUUUCAACCUCGCCUCGUAACCAUCUCACACUCCACGUCCGAUCAACCCUUCGGUGUCCCCAGCAGUGAGCUGGCUCAGUAAGUCGGCAUCCCUGGGCGAAACACAAGGAUCAAACUUGAACUCUCGGAUAGCUUGUAAGAUUCCCGAAGCGCAUCUUUCAGUGCCACGAAAGAUCUUGGGAUUGUCUUUGGCAUUAUCAAGGUACCACUACGUAAGAUCUUCAAACGCAUUCCCGACCUGAGAUCGUCAGUGAGUGAGUGAGUGAUCAAUCGACUUCAAGAACUGAAACGUCUUUGACGUCCAGCGCCUCCUCCUGAUUGAGCACCGAGAUCCACGUCGCGCUCUCCUUGGCAGUUAUCUUGUCUUGCAAGCACUUGGACUGCCUCACGAGCUUCCUGAUCUUCCCGAUAUCCGGGGACAUGUGUCGGAUCACCGCAGUGAGAACUCCAACCUUCCACACCUUCUUGAGAUCAUGGGGCUUCUUAUACGGAUCCAUCUUGCGGAUCGAUCGGAGUGGAAGUAUUUCGAGCGCCCGCUGCCAAGAGGAGGGAAUAUUUCGGAGCGAUUACCUCCAAUUCGCCAUGGAAAGCCGAGGAUCGAAUGGGAAAAGCGAGGAAGAUCACGGGAAGCAGAGAGAAAGAAGGAAAAAGCUCGAUUCAACGCGAGCCCCUUGUGUGAUUACCUAGCUCCAUCGAUGCCCCGUCGACGCGCGCUGCGCUCGCCGAUCGCGCCCGUGACACAGUGGCGCAGCGCCUUCAAAUUCGACACAUUGCCCGGGCAAGCGUCACAAUCCCAAUGCCGCCACCGCUGCGGGCGCUGCCAACGCGAUCAACGAGAAUCGAUGCCCUAGCGCAUCAAGAUCCCCGCUUUGCUCGGCGAGAGAGAGAAGAGCAAAGGCGCAGCGCCCCUCGUCAUAGCCAACUACUAGGUCAUAGCUAUCCAUCUAAAUGCCGUACAAUUCCCCCCAGGUCGGGUUUAUGACAUGGAAGUCCACUGGCUUUUUGACACGUGGCACACCUACAUCUGGAUUUACAAGGACGCCCUUUUCAGCCCUUCGCUUACGGUCAAUUUAGCUAUCUGCCUCAAAUUUAGCUAACCGGUUUGUUGCCAGAUUUAGCAGCUCCCCGAAUUUAAAUCACUUUUGUCCAAGCUGCCAGUUUGUCGGAAUCCAGUUUGGGUCAUAAAAUGGACCACUGGGGGACGCCGGGCUCGAACCCGGACCAGCGGAUGCCGCGCCGCGCCGGACUCCGGCGGUCUCGUCGCCGGACUCGAACCCGCCACCGUACGCUCCACGCCUCCACCGCUACCAUACGCCUCUCUCUAGUUUAUUAUACGCCUCCAAUCCUUCCUCAUGAUCAACGAGACAACCAACCCCGCGUAGAGUACGUGGGGUACGACGUUUGAAACUCCAUUCAUUGGGUUUUGUUAAAGAGAAUAAAAGACAGAACGCCACUGUAGCUAAACCUAGAAAUCAAAAACUAAACUACAUCGUGCCAUUAUUGGUUUGAGAUGCAACACCUUUUACUCGGGCACCCUAGCGAAUAAUAGAAUAUUUUCUGCCGGAGAAUAUUCUGGAAUCGGCCCGUGGUCCACAUGAUAGAGGGCAGUGACAAGAGGUUUUGGGCCCCCCUCAAAAUGCUUAUUUUUAUUGUUCGCUGGGAGUCCAUGUUCCCUCUUUAGCUCCCAUGUGUGGCCUUUGUUUUUGUUGCCAGCCAAACAAACACACAGAAAGUUUGAAGGAGAGAGAGAGUGUGCAAAAAUCUGAGAGGAGAGAAAGAAAUGGCACCGGCUUUGAUUGACUUUGCCGCGCUCCACUUCUUUGAUCCCUCCAUCUCCAUCUCGUCCUUUUUCUUUUUCUACUCGGACUCGGACGAUUCGAUCCAUCUCAUGUUUCGCUCGAAGUCGAUGGAUCACUGCCCAAUCACUCCAUCACUUCUUGUCGACUGGAAAAGUCUUUAAAUUCCUCUCGCUGAUGCGAUCAGCACGGCAUUAGCCUGAGAUCAAGGCCGCGGAUCAUCCAGCAAAGUCUAAGCUUUUUGCCAAGGAUGUGACAAGCUAACGUGUUGUCCAGGCGCUUACAGGUUCCAUUGUUUUUCCAAUCACAAUUCUUUUUCCUCCGGCGACCGGCACGAAAGUCGUCCGAAGCAACCCAAACUGGAAACAAGAUACAUGCCCAGUUUCUCGGACAGAUUUCCUCAAGCCCGGCAGAACACGGAAGACGAAGAAAUUCGUUAAAAAAUCCACGAGCAAGCAGCAAGAGAGAGAGAGAGAGAGAGAGACAUAAAAAACUUUGCCAAGCCCAAAGUCGUUGAUGUUAAGCUAGGCCGUGCUUGAAGCGCGUGAUGAUGAUCAUGAAAGUUCCUGUCAAGAUGCUCGGUGGAUUCUCCGUGUCUCCAGCUAGAGACUUAUCGACACACUAUCUAUCUGGUAAUGUUUCAAAACGAGUAAACUAAUCAGUGUUUGUUGGGAAUGAAUGUUUGUGCUGCUUGGCCACUUGCACUGCGGCGGCAGCAGAGGAGGAUGUUUUGCGGCAACUAUACCUGACUAAAUCGAAGUACUUUAAUUGCAAUUUGCAAGAUCACAAGUACUAGUCCUGAAGAAAAACAGCAAGAUGUGCUUAUAAUCAAGGCAUUCUUGCAACGCAAGUGGAAAUUCACUAUGUUUACCUGGGCUUUCCAAGGAUGCUUCAUCUGAAUCGCAUAGUGUCACCCUGCUGUAUGAAAAAGACAAGAGAAAAAUUCUUACUCACUAGAGUUUGUUAAUUUUACUCUAGCUAUUACAAAUUUUCCAUUGUUGAUACUCACUGUAGCUUCAUUCAACUCCACACUUUUUUACUUAAUUAGAGAUGUAAAGUUUUGUCUCAUGUUCUAGAAUUUUGUCUAUAGUUACAAAACCACAAGCUUAUCCAUAAAUGGAUUGAUAUUACUAUAAACAAUUAAAGAAAACAACUUGAAAGACGAUUAAUAGGGUUGAAAUAUAGAGGGAAAGGGCUCAUGAAUAAAAAUACAUUUUAUUUUUCAAAUGCACUCAUUUUUCCAAUCGGUUAAAGGUCCUGGGAUAUUUGGGGUUAAGUGUUUCUGGGUUGGGUGACUUCCCGGGAAUUUUAAAUUCAAGAGUUUAUAAUUACUUCAGUGCAGAAGUAUAAUCUUAACUUCUCUCUCUUCCUUUCAGCUUCUUUUCUUUGCUUUUCAAUAUGUAGUGAGUGAAAUGCUUUCACUCGUAAGUUUUUCAUAAGUGAGUGAAUAAAACUUGAUUAACUUUUAUAACCUACUUUUCCAAAGUUACAUUUAAGAUGGCCAAGUGAGCAGUGUGAUGUGUUCUUACAACCAAGUGAAUAGUUUUUUAACUUGUGCUAAUCAAAGUUUGCUCAUAGAUAUAAUACAAAAUAAGUGGGGAUGCAAUAAAUUUAUUCAUUUCUCUUCUCGAGAAAAAUCAUUCUUUUACUUCUUGUUAAAUAUAUAGUUUUUGAUUGUGAUGUUCUUCACUUUUUUUGAAGGGUAUACUCCCUUAGCCAAAGAUGCAAUUGUUGAUUCUAUGUUAUAGGUAAAAAUUUGAUAAUUAGAAUUGUUGCACGUUUCAAUAUUAAUUUUGGGACCAACUUCUAAAGUUUUACCAAGAUUAUUUUAAAUUAAUAAGUUCAAAACUUUUUCUUGACAAUCAUGAGAAGUCAAAAUAUCACCAAGGUUAACUUUAACCAUAUAAUAUCCAAUCUCAUUACAACCAAAAUGUGGCUUAGAUUAUUCAAUGGCAAUUCAAGAGCUGGUCCUCUUUAACAAGUUCCAUAUAUAAAUAAUAUAGUGAUUUACCCUUUCUUUUUUUGUAAGUUAUUGUUUAAAAAGAGUUUAUUUUAAAUUCACUUAAAUCUUUCUCUUGAGAAACUACUUAGCUUGGCAUAAAAUCUUAGCAACCCAAUACUAAAUACUAGUCCAAAAAUUUGAGAAAAACAUAUAAACCAGUAUAGUAAUGAUAAUUUGAAGCUUUUUCUUGCCAAUUUACAAGGUAUAAUAAAUGAUUGAGAUGUUGGUUCUCUAAACAAAGAUGAGAUAAAGAUUGGGAGUGAUCUUAGGCAAACAUCUCUAAGCCAAACUUCUUCAUUUGGCUCAUAAACUUGGUUGAGUUUGCAAAGGUUUCGAUAAAGUUUAUUUUUGAAUUUUUGCAUGUCAUAAAUGCUUAUCAAGGCAAUGUAAAUAGGAGUAUACUAUAAUUAUGGCUUGUCAUUUUUGUUAUGGUGGUGGUGAUUGCAACUAUCACCAUGCUUUCAACAUCUUUAUAAAUGAUUAAUUUUUUUUUACUUUAGGAUCAUCUAAAGGAGUCUCACUUAUAAUUUCUAUAGGCCCUGAUAUUAAUUUGGGUGUUUCCUAACUUUAAGAUGUGUUUUUGUAACCACAUCAACUUUGUACUUGGUCUAAAUGCUCUAUGUGUCUAGUUCCACUUUUGGAUACCCAAAUGACUAGAUAACUUUUUAUGAAGUCCAAAUUUAAAAACUUAUAUUGGUAUUAGAAAAGUGUAAGGUGUGACUCUAUUAGUUGAUUAAAAAAAUCACACCACAUGUUAAGAUUGAUAUUUAAUAGGUUUAGUUUACUCUAAUUUCAACUCGAGGGGUAAGGUGUUAAAAGAGUAAGGCUCUUAGAAGAGCCCUACUCUUGCAAAAAAACAUGAUGGAUUAUAAACAACCAAAGAUAAUAACUUAAAAAAUUAUUAAUAUUAUUUUAAAUAUAGAAAUGUACUCUUUGUUCCAAUUAGUUGUAAGUAUUAGGUUAUUUGAGAUUAAGCAUCUUUAAAUAGUAUUGGGUUAGAUGACCUUCUAGAAAGCCCAAAUUCAGGAGAUUAUAGUGCCAUAAAUAAUAUAAGUUAAUGUUUGUAAAGAAACUAGCAAGAAAGAAAACAAUUUAAAAUUAAACAACCUUUUAAAAAUGAAAUAUUUACUAGAAUGUUCAAAAUAAGUAUUUAGAAAGCAUUUUUAUUAGAGCUACUCUCAAGUAAUACUUGAUGUGUUGCAAAUGAUUUCAUAGUAAAAAAUAUCUUUAUACUUCAUUUUUAAAAUAAUAAUUAGUGGUGUUUAAUACAUAUUUUGUAUUUUCUAAACAAUAUCUAGAGACACUCAAAAACCUUUUGCUGUUAAAUUAUUGUCAUUCAAGCACUUGUUUACAAUAGUUAAAACACAAUACAAUGUUUGGUUUUAUGGGAUGGUAAAUAUAUGUAAUUGAGGAGAGUAAACAGAUUUCUAUAUAGACUUUAGUAAGUAAAUGGAAUUGUGAACAAUGACAAUUUUCAUAAGUCUUUAAACUGUAGUUUGUAACAUAUUUUAGCUAAAUAUUAAUUUAAAAAAUAAGUUGAAGUUGGUAAAGAUAAUAUAAAGUUAUCUCCUACAGUAUGUGAUGAUAAAUAACAAUUAAGCAUUUGUAUUUAGUUUUGAAAUGCAUUACCUCAAAAGGUUUAUUAAUAAUAAUUAACUUUAUUCCUAGAAUUGUUUUACCAAAGAUGCCAAAAUGAAAAAAUGCCACUAACAUGAGAUCAUCUGAGUAGCUUUUCUUUAAAGCAUUCAAUACUAAAACAUCAGAAUAAAUAUAAAAAUUAUUUUAUAGCAAUAUGCAAAGAUACCUCAUCGACUUAUAUCAAGAAAUGUAGCAUAAUCAUAGUAAAAAUGCCCUACAUAGUCUUUGUUAAAUAAAACUAAAAUCAUAGUUAUAUUUGAAUGUAAAAUAGCUUUGUAAAUCUAUACUGUUUUAUAAUCCAAGGUUAUAGGAUGGAUAUUAAAAUAUUUGGCCAUGAUUGUCUUUUGAUCAAUUUCUUUCACAAUUUUAGUCUUCUUAUCAAAAUAUGAUUAAUAUGACAUCAUUUGACUAGCUUUUCCUUCACUUGAAUUAUUAAACAUUCAACACUGAAAUAAACUUGGAACAUUAGAAUAAACAUGAAAUAAUAUUUUAAAGCAAUAAUGCAAAUUUACCUCAUUGACUUCUAUUACAAAAUAUAGCCCAAUCAUUCCAAAGACAUAUAGCAAUAACUUUAUAAAGCAUAUUUAUUUACUUUCAUCUUGCCAAAUCAUCUCGUAAAAAUAUAGAUUGAUGAUCUGAUUUAGAAUGGUUUUUGUUAGAUAAAACCAAAAACUUAAAUGUUAAAUACCUUUGUAGACCCAUAUUUUUCUUUCAUCCAGGAUUAUGGGAUGAAAAACAAAACAUAUGAUUAAUGAUUUACUUUAAAUACCCUACAUAGCUUCUGUUAGAUAAAACUAAAAGUAUGGAUACAUUUCAAUAUAAAAUACCUUUGUAAAUAUAUAUUGUUUUAUCAUCUAAAUUAUAAGAUAAAAAAUAAAUUAUUUGGUAGUUUUUCCUUCAUUUAAAGCAUUAAAAAUUCAACACUGAAAUGAACUUGAAACAUUAGAAUAAACAGGAAAGAAUAAUUUGGAGUUAUAAUGCAAACUUACCUCCUUAACUUCUGCUAUAAAAAAUACCCCAAUCAUACCAAAGACAUAUAGUAAUAACUAUAUAAAGCAUGUUUAUUUACCUUUGUUUUACUAAACCACCUCAUAAAAAUUUAGAUUGAUGAUCUGCUUUAAAAUGGUGUUUGUUAGAAAAAACUAAAAACUUAAAUAUUAAAUACCUUUGCAGACCCAUAUUUUUCUUCCCUCUAAGAUUGUGGGAUGAAGAGCAAAAUGUUUUUCCAUGAUUGUCUCCUGUUUUUCUUCUUUCCCAAUUGUAGUUGUCACUAGCUUAAAUAUCUCUUGCACAUCUUCUGCUUUGGGAUUUGUAGUUAACUUAUUUUUGAGAAGACAUGAAUCCAAAAAGCUUAUGAGGCUUCCCUUGAUCUCAUCCACCAUUGCAUUCAUUAUUUCUCCAACACCAGCAAAAUGUCCUCCAACUUUAGCCCCAAUAAAUAAUAGGAUCAAUGUAUGUUUAAAUAUUGGAGCAAAUUUCUUGAGCCAGUUUGGUGGGAGAUCCAAUUCAACACCUACAGAACUCUUCACUUGAUGACCUUUAAAAGUUCCUUGAGGCCAUUCACACAAGUAGUGAAGUUUAACAUGUGUUCCCAAUAUUUUGCUGUAAUUUUUCCACCUAUUAUUCUCAUCAAGAAUAUAUGGAUAUUUUGGGCAAUCUGUCUCCAAUUUCAAUAAUACUUGAAAACACGUUGUAUGGAUUGCAUUCACUUUAUCCAUGAUAGACUUGAGUCCAUUCUUGAGCUCGUUAAGGCUUACUUCAAUGUUAUCAAGUUUUGUAUCCAACUUGUCAAACCGAUUCUCCAUUUUAUCAAACUUCUUAUCAAAAUAUCUAAAAAUUGCAUCGAGUUUUGGGUCUUCAAUGUUUGGAAACUCAACAACAUUUAAUGAUGCUUUGGGAAUUGUGACUUCUCCAACCUCCUCAUAGUCCUUUAAGAGUUCAUGAAGCUCAACAAACUUAUUCACCACUUCAUAUUUUUGCUCAUUAGGCAUCAAUAACUUGGCCAAAGCAUUCUCAUCUGAGACCUUCAAAUCGUUAAUCACAUCCCAACUCUCUGCUUCAUGUGAAUCAUUCCAAGUGUGAGAGUAGUCUAGACCGCUUUCUCUUGCUUCACAUUUGACUUUCUUUAGUGGAUAAAUAACUGCAUCCCAUGAUUUUGGUUUGCCCACAUUAUUUAGUAUCCUUCUCCACACAUAACCACGUCUCAUCACAUUUUCUUCAAUUUCCAAAAAUGGGCAAUCCUCUAUACAUACCCCAAUAAUGCAAUUUCUAAUUUUUUCCAUCCAUCCUUCAGCUUCUUUUUCCAAAUCCGGCCUUGGUGCAUUCUCUACCUUUUUUGGGUAGUAGAUGAUGACAUCAACCCAUUGCCUAUCUUUCCAAUUGUCUGUGUCUCCCCCAACUCUAACAAUUGUCUUGAUAAGGUUUUCUUUCAAAGCCACCCAUCCAUUCCCAGGCCUAAAACCUUUCUUGCUUAAUUUGUGAAGUUUAACUUGGAUCUUUGUGAAAAUACUUGCAGGAAACAAUUUCAAGUCCUUGUCUUUGCAUUCAAACCUCCUGCCCCAGUAGUUGUGGUUUUUUUGAGUGUCAAUUGGCACUGAGGGUGACAAUAAAUAUUCUGGAGGUGAAUAUUCUUCUUGCAAUAAUGUUGGCAUUAUCGGCUCUUUGGGCAAGUUAUGCCAAUUCCCAUCCCAUUUAUCAUCCCAAGGCAAUAUCACUCCCAUCUCAUGGAGCACUCCAAGAAUGUACUCCACUAUUUUGUCUUGGUUCCCACAUUGUUGCUUCAACUGAUGUUUAACUCUGUGUGUUUCCAUUUGACUUUUGAAUUUGCUUGUCUCAGUAUGUAUGAAGAGUUGCACCACAUCCCUCAUAAACCAUUGGACAUCUAAGAUGACAAAUUGAGACACAAUGUCGUCCUCUUCAUGUCCCAAGCCAAAGUAAAUUGCAUCACCAGAAUCAUGUAGAAAUUGCAAGACGAAUUUGAGAACAUUCUUGGAACUCCUGUGAGGCAAGAGAAUUUUGCCAACUUUUUCUAGGGGUAUGACCUUCUUGUGACUUGGAUCUUGUACCAAUUUCCUCUUUGCUUUGAGACAUUCCCGUGGUAUUUGUUGCUGGGCUGACAGCAGUUCCUCCAAGCAACUCCCCAACAUGGUUUUUAUCCCCCUUAAAUCUUUCACUUGAGUGGCCACCACCUCAAAACAAAAGUCAUUCCCAAACUCAAGUACUUGCCAAUAGCCUUUGUCGGAGAUUAUUGCAGAAACCACCUCCUUUGGGUCAAAGUCGGGUUCUGGAGUGAAAAAGUUCAAGGCAAUCAAGACCCUGGGCUUCCUUUUGGGUGAGGCUGAUUGAUGUGAAGCGAUGAACCUCAGCCAGUAAACCAAAUUCUGCUUGAAAACGUCACAAUUGUCAUCCUCCACCUUGCAUACGAUCAAGAAGAGAUCCUUCUCACUUCCUCUGAGAAAGUACUGGUGGAAAGCAUGGAACUCUUCCUGUCCAGCCAGGUCGCAAAUGAGCAGCUUUUGUUUGGUGGUCGCAUAGACAAGUGGUUGCAGCUCAAUGCCUGCUGUUGAAGCAUGCCUUUGGAGACAUGAUGGAAACCAAGACACUCUGCGGCAGAGGUUGUUUUUUAUUGUGGUCUUUCCAACCCUGCUAUCACCACACAAGAAGAGUUUUGCUGUUGAUGGGUUGUCAAAGUCCUUGAAUGCACUCUUCUGGAAGAUUGCAUUCCGCUCUAAAAGACCAGAACACCUCUGCUUGAAAGCUUCAGAAGCUUCGGAAUCACUGCCUAUAUCAAGCUCUUCCACGAGGCUUUGGUAGUUUUCCUCCAGGGCAGCCAGAAUUUGUCUUUUCUGUGCAUCACUAUCAAGAAAACGAGCCCUGAAUCUGCGCACCUUGCAUUUUGGAUCCCCCAGCAACUGGCAAAGCUCUUCCAGCUUUUCAAUUUCUUCCUGACGUAUUUCCAAGUCUUCAAUGCUGCUUCCCAAAAGGCACCUCCAUGGCAGCUCCGACUCACAUGACAAAGCUUUCAGAGACUUGCAGCUGGUGAUAGCUUUCCAAAAGGGCUCCCCAUUCGUGAUUUUGCAGCUCCAUAUACCCAAAUGCUCCAGUUGGCUCUUCUCUAUGCCCUCGGCAAACUCCAACGGUAACUCUGUCCUGCUACCCCAUAUUUUCAAAUGGCGCAGCUUACAAUGUGGACUUGAGAGAGCUGACCACAGACUGCUGUCACAGACCAUUCCUCCUCCCUCGUUGAACCAAUCAAGGUCAAGGUUGAGCUUGAUCAGCUUGCAAUUGGGAUUUUGUAGCGCUCUGCCCAACCAUCCACCACCAUCACCUGGAUAAAGUCUAACGCAGAGUUCCUCCAAGCCACACUUAGCGCUGCACAGGGCCUCACCCAGGCCCGUUGCAUUGCUCAGGUCCUCACUCUGUCUCAUUUCUCGGCAAUCUAAAACUGACAGGCUGGUGCCCUCCUGAAGAGCCUUGCAUACCCAUGGCAACACUCCAGCAUCAGUACCCCAAAAUAGGUAUAGUCUUUGCAGCGAACAGUUUGGACUCGUGAGUGCCUUGAAGAGUGCUUCACCUGCCUCCUCUGGAAACGAAUAUGCCUCCAGUGCCACUAGCUUAUUGAAAAUGCCAUUCUGAAAUGCCUGUUCCCACCCUUCCUUGUCAAUGUCCUUAUCUUCGAUGACUAACUCUUCCACCUUGCACUCCUGACUUGCCAGAUCCCUACUCAAUUUCCCAAAUCCUUCCACUGUCAUCCUGUUCCCCCGCAAUUCGAGACGUUUCAAGUUGUUUCCUGCUUUCCUAAGGAGUUGGCUAAGGAGAGUCUCUGGGUUCCCAACCUUGUCCAACCAGAGCUCUGUCAAGCAGUCGAGCUGAGCAAAGGCCAACUCAAGCUCCUGAGGUGGUGUGAGGAUGUCUUUGCCUCCCCAACGGAAAUCUAGGCCUUUCAAGACUUUGAAUUCCUCUGUCAUCAUCAGUAGCUUUGCAAACCUCUGCACCUCAAUCUGGCCAAUGUCCUGUCCC